rnacentral:rRNA from 1 species
AUUGAACGCUGGCGGCAGGCCUAACACAUGCAAGUCGAGCGGUAGCACAGAGAGCUUGCUCUCGGGUGACGAGCGGCGGACGGGUGAGUAAUGUCUGGGAAACUGCCUGAUGGAGGGGGAUAACUACUGGAAACGGUAGCUAAUACCGCAUAACGUCGCAAGACCAAAGUGGGGGACCUUCGGGCCUCAUGCCAUCAGAUGUGCCCAGAUGGGAUUAGCUAGUAGGUGGGGUAACGGCUCACCUAGGCGACGAUCCCUAGCUGGUCUGAGAGGAUGACCAGCCACACUGGAACUGAGACACGGUCCAGACUCCUACGGGAGGCAGCAGUGGGGAAUAUUGCACAAUGGGCGCAAGCCUGAUGCAGCCAUGCCGCGUGUGUGAAGAAGGCCUUCGGGUUGUAAAGCACUUUCAGCGGGGAGGAAGGCGGUGAGGUUAAUAACCUCAUCGAUUGACGUUACCCGCAGAAGAAGCACCGGCUAACUCCGUGCCAGCAGCCGCGGUAAUACGGAGGGUGCAAGCGUUAAUCGGAAUUACUGGGCGUAAAGCGCACGCAGGCGGUCUGUCAAGUCGGAUGUGAAAUCCCUGGGCUCAACCUGGGAACUGCAUUCGAAACUGGCAGGCUAGAGUCUUGUAGAGGGGGGUAGAAUUCCAGGUGUAGCGGUGAAAUGCGUAGAGAUCUGGAGGAAUACCGGUGGCGAAGGCGGCCCCCUGGACAAAGACUGACGCUCAGGUGCGAAAGCGUGGGGAGCAAACAGGACUAGAUACCCUGGUAGUCCACGCCGUAAACGAUGUCGAUUUGGAGGUUGUGCCCUUGAGGCGUGGCUUCCGGAGCUAACGCGUUAAAUCGACCGCCUGGGGAGUACGGCCGCAAGGUUAAAACUCAAAUGAAUUGACGGGGGCCCGCACAAGCGGUGGAGCAUGUGGUUUAAUUCGAUGCAACGCGAAGAACCUUACCUGGUCUUGACAUCCACAGGACUUUCCAGAGAUGGAUUGGUGCCUUCGGGAACUGUGAGACAGGUGCUGCAUGGCUGUCGUCAGCUCGUGUUGUGAAAUGUUGGGUUAAGUCCCGCAACGAGCGCAACCCUUAUCCUUUGUUGCCAGCGGUCCGGCCGGGAACUCAAAGGAGACUGCCAGUGAUAAACUGGAGGAAGGUGGGGAUGACGUCAAGUCAUCAUGGCCCUUACGACCAGGGCUACACACGUGCUACAAUGGCAUAUACAAAGAGAAGCGACCUCGCGAGAGCAAGCGGACCUCAUAAAGUAUGUCGUAGUCCGGAUUGGAGUCUGCAACUCGACUCCAUGAAGUCGGAAUCGCUAGUAAUCGUGGAUCAGAAUGCUACGGUGAAUACGUUCCCGGGCCU